rnacentral:lncRNA from 1 species
UUGUCGCCGACGGUGGCAGAGAGGGGUGACCAAAAAAAUUAUAGAAGAAACAAGAAAAAAAAAUAAAGAUAAGAAAUUAUAGAAAAAGAAAGGUGAAAAUGAAAUUGCACCGUUAAAAUAAAAUUGCACUGUUUUAAAAGAANUGAAAAUUUAAAAUUUGAGAUUUGAAAGUUAAAUUUAAAAUUUAAAAUCUAAAUUUUAAAUUUUAAAUUUGGAAAAUUGAGAUUUAGAAAUUAAAAUAUGAAUUUAAAAUUUCAAAAUUUAAAUUUAAUGUUAAAUUUAUACUUUGAAUCUAAAAUAAAAGUAAAAAUUUGAAGUUUGAGUCCAAAAUCAGAAUCAGUUUUGGAGAAGCAGCUUUUUUUUAUUCCUAAUUCUGGAGUUUUCAAAAUCAGUUUUCUGAUUCUGAAAAGCAGAAUCAGAUUUUUUAUCUGUCGUUCCCAGACGCUCUACUGAGCUCAAAAGUAAUUUUUGGUUCGGAAUCACUUUUGAGAAGCUAGGUCAAACACCCCCAU